rnacentral:tRNA from 1 species
GGCAGCAUGGUGUAGUGGUUUGAGCGUUGGACUGUGACUCUGGAGACCAGGGUUCGAAUCCCGGAUCAGCCA